rnacentral:rRNA from 1 species
UACGAAGGGGGCUAGCGUUGUUCGGAUUUACUGGGCGUAAAGCGCGUGUAGGCGGAUCGUUAAGUCGGGGGUGAAAGCCCGGGGCUCAACUCCGGAAUUGCCUGCGAUACUGGGCACCUCGAGUGUGGGAGAGGUGAGUGGAAUUGCGAGUGUAGAGGUGAAAUUCGUAGAUAUUCGGAGGAACACCAGAGGCGAAGGCGGCUCACUGGACCAUAACUGACGCUGAGACGCGAAAGCGUGGGGAGCAAACAGG